rnacentral:lncRNA from 1 species
UCCUUUUGAAAUUCGUUGCAAACAACUUUUAAUGGUAUAUUUUAUGAUGUGCGUAGUUUUACAUAACACUAUUUUUAUCGCAUGGCAGGAUAUUUAAACCAUAGAUUUACACAGAUUUGGACAUCUACUUUUUAGCUCACCUGACCUGAAAGGUCAACAUGGUCAAGUGAGCUUUUCUCAUCACUUGGCGUCUGUCGUCCGUCUACUGGGCCAAAUUUAACAGAGCUUUGCCACAGUCAUCACUAUGGUCAUGAUGGUAUCUAGUUUUAAAAAUGUGUCUGAUGAUCCGG